UGACUUUUCAUGUCCAUUAGUAUUUGUUUUAUAUAGUUGGGCACAUUAGUUUUUGGUGCAUAGAUAUUUAUGACUGUCAUCUCUUCCUGUUGGAUUGUUUGCUUUACACAGAUGUAGUGUCCUUCUUUGUCUCUCUUAAUCAGUGUUGGUUUGAAAUCCACUUGAUCUGCAAAGAGGAUAGCUACUCCUGCUUUUUUUCAGGUUCCUGUUACAUGGAGUGUUGUUUUACACCCUUUAACUUUCAAUCUAUGAGUUUCUUUUUUUAAUUAAGUGUGUUUCUUGUAUGCAGCAUAUUGUUGAAUUUUGCUUCUUGACCCAUUCUGCCAGUCUAUUUCUUUUGAUUGGUGAAUUGAGACCAUUAACAUUGAUGGUUAUAACUGAUACAUAUUGCCUUAUCCUUGUCAUGACUUUUUCAUUUUGUUGGAUUCUCCCCCUUUAUAUUUAAGUUCUUGUCACACCUGAUGGACUCAUUCUGCUGUGCUUCCUGGGGUUGUGAUCCUCAUUGUCUGUUCCUAGUAUAUUAUCUAAAAUUUUUUUGGAGUGCUCAUUUUGUAUUCAUGAAGUUCCUAAGGUGCUCUUUGUCAUGAAAGUACCUUAUUUUUCCAUCAAUUUUUAAAGAUAGUUUUGCAGUGUACAUCAAUCUGGGUUGGAGGCUGUUGUUCUUUAGGGCUUGGAAUAUGUCACUCCAAGCUCUUCUUGCCUUGAGGGUUUGCAUUGAGAAGUCUGCUGUGAUUCUGAUGGGCUUUCCUUUGUAUGUGCUUUCCUUUGAUUUGUUUCUUUUCUCUAACUGCUUGUAGAACUUUGUUCUUCUGGUGAGUUUCCAGAAUCUUAACAAUUUUAUGCCUAUGUGUAGAUUGUUUUGGAUCAAGGCUAUUUGGACACCUGUAUGUCUCAUUUAUCUGUAUGUCAAGUUUUUUUCCCCUGCUUGGGAAGUUUUCUGCCAUUAUUUCUGCGAACAGUUCUUUUUUAUGUCAUCUGCACUCUCUCCUGUUUCUUUGUUGACUCUAAUCAGUCUUUUGUUAUUCUUCUUUGCAUCGUCUAGCAGCUGCUGGAUUGAUUUCUCACAUUUCCUUACAAUUUUGAAGCAAUUUUUCUUUACCUGGUCACUAAUUGCAAUUUUAUUUUCUAUAUCUGAAAUUCUGUCCUCACAUUGGCUCAUUCUGCUGUGUAGACUUUCAAUGGAGUUUUUCAUCUCCUGGAAAUAUUUUUGUAUCUGUUUUAUGGAUUCCAAUUGUUUCCUAUGUUGGGAUUCCAUCAUGUUCCUCAGCUCCUCUAUUUUUUUUUUAAUCUGUGCCCUCUCUAGAUUUAUUAAGCAUGUCUUGCACUAUGUGCAUAAUCUAUGCUGUUAUCUGAGAAAUUAUUUCUGAUUUCAUUUUUUCCAGAUCCUCUUUUGUUGCCAGUUCAGGGAGUCCAGGUGGUUGAGUAUCAGUGUUCCAUCUCCUUUCCUGUUGGGGUUGCUGUAGGUGAUCUGGGAAUCUGGUUUUGAGACUUGUUUACGUGUCUUCUCAUUUCCAUGGUGAGGCUUGCUGUUGGUGCCUGCAUGGCUCACCUUCUCUGCACUAGGAGCAGUGGAACGGCAUCCCAGAGGCCCCUUCCUCUGGGCUGGGAGUGGUGGAACCAAUUCUGAAUUUUCAUAUGCUAUCUCUGAAUCAUUUUGACUCCUUCUCAUGGUUUUAUACAAAUUUAAGACCUAUCAAAAUUGAUCAUUCCAGUAUUCACUUAUACCCCAAGAUUUUACCUUGAACUGUGUCAAUAUGAGAAACUUUGUGGGAAAUGGGUAUUGUAGCAAUUAGGGUGGAGCAUCAAUUUAACUGGUUUUGGGAUCCACUCUGGGGGUUGGUGGAUCACUCUUCUUAAUUUAUCAGGAUGGGUGGUUAUGCCCGUGGAGUCUAUUUAUGUCCCUGGAUCGUUCCUCUCUGCCACUCUUCUCCUGCUCUGCUUCCUGGCUGCCAUGAACUAUGCAGCUUUGUUCUAGCAUCCUUUCCACUAUCACAAUCCUGCCUUGGAGCCAGCUGACCAUGAAUUGAACCCCUUGAAAUAUUAUUCAAAUUAAAACUCUCCUCCUUUAAGUUGUGAGUGUCAGGUAUGAUGACGAACAAUGGGAAAGCUGAAGAAUACAAGUAUGUUUGCUUUUCAUGACAUUAACCUUAAAAGUUUAAGAGCAAUCCUAAAUAAUCAUUUAUUAAGCAUAUUUUAAAAUUCUUUUCUUUAAUUGACAAAUUUGUAUACUCAUGGAGUAUAACAUGAUGUUUUGUAAAAUUCAUUAUGUGGUAGAGUGGCUAAAUCAAGCUAAUUAACAUACAUAUUGUAUUAGUGAGCUUUCCUAUUGCUAGGACAAAAUAGUUGAUACCCCCAACUUAGAGGAGAGGCAUCAUUUUGCUAAUAGUUUCAGAGAUGUCAGUCCAUGGCUAGCUGGCUCCAAGGCAUAAACAUCAUGUUGGGAGGGCAUGGUAAAGCAAAACUGCUCACUUCUGGGCCCUACCUGCCAACAGCAGUUCAGCUAGAAACAUCAGUGGAUUAAUGCAAUUGCCUUUUGAAACCCCACCUCUGAACAUGUGAGACUAUUUGGGGACUAUUUUUAUCUAAAUCAUCACACAUUAUAUUAUGUUCUUAUCAUUUUUUGUACCAAGAACAUAAAAGCUACUCUGUUAGCAAUUUUCAAUUAUAUAAUAUGUUGCUCUUAACUAUAGUUAUCAUGCUGCACAAUACUGUAGAUCUCUUGAAAUUGUUCUUCCUAACUGAGAUGUCUUAUCCUUUGACCUUUGAGAAGCUUUACUACUCCCCAGCUCAUUAAGGAUCUGUCAUGAAUAAAUUCAUUUUAACAGUGCUAUAACCUUCAUAUAUUUUACACUUACAUUAGUAUAUUUUUCUACAUGCUGAUAAACUACUGAUUUGGCUAAUCCUUACCCACAGAAUUGCUUGAUUUAUUGACAAAGUGAGCUAGAUGUUUUCACAUUUUAUAGAUGUGGCCAAAGGCACACACCAAAUAAGCAAAAUGAAUAGGGAAAGUGCUUGUGACAGUUUGGCCUGAGGGCACUGUCAAGCUCUCCUGGCAUUCAAUAAUUUCCCUCUUCCAGGAAACCAAAGGGCAUGGCCAGAUCAAUUCUCAGAUCAGGUCAGCAUUAAACAUCAAUAAUCAUGGAAAAAUGUAGGAACUGGUGGCAAAUUUGAAUCAGACCCUAAGGAUGAGGUGGCAUCAUACAUAUACGGUGAAGGGAACAAAUCAGGAUGAAGAAGCUAUGAGGUUCAUCUUAGGAGUCAUAAAAGAACAGCAGGCUCUGGGAUAAACUGGAAAUGUAUGGAAAACAGGAAUGACAAGUAAGGCCAGAUCUGUGGGAAAGGGUAGUUUGGUAGAGAGGGUCACAAGGUCUUUGCAAAUCAUGGCUGCUCAGAAAGAAAUGCCUGUAGGUUCUUCCCUGGCUCCUAAAACCUCUUUGAUGUAAAUAGUUACAAUUGUAGGGCUUUUUGUGGUGGGGCUAGCCUUUUGCUAUCCAUAUCACACUGUGAAGCCAGCUUUCUCAUUAAAAUGAUUGGAAAUUGUAAUUCCUCUUUUAUGAUAGUAUCCCAUUCCAGAUUAGCAACACAGUAUUUUUUUAUUGAUUUGAAUUUUGUGAAGAAUCCUGCAAGUGAAGUCUUCUACAACAUGGGAGAACAAAGUCACUAAAUUAUGUAUAUGUCAUGUGUACAUAAAUAUAUUUGCAUGUGCAAUACAGAUCAUACAGUUUGUUUCUUUUAUUUUCCUUUACAAAAAAAGGAACCUAAAGUGCCAAAUCAAAGCUUGAACUAAAUGCUGUCAGGAUUCUGGCUUUGGGGGUUGUUAGAAACAUUAUGAGGAAAAAAUCCAACAGAAAAAUGCUCUGCUGUUAGUUGUGAGUGAAACCUAGAGACCAUCAGAGGGAGUACUUUAGCUGCUGUGAAAAGGCUCAGAGGGAGACAGAUAAUAAAUGUACAAUAAACAAUCCAAUGUCAGAAAUGUUCGGUAUUGCAAAAUGUACGCCUAUUUGUUUUUUAGCAAUUUCUAAUAGAUGAAGUUCUAACUCUAGUCAUGACCAGAUAUUAGCCGGAUAAUUCUUUGAAUCUGGCUAAGGUGGAAUCUUUCAAGGACAAAGAGGAUUUGCUCACUAACCGGAAAGUGAGGUACAGGUCAUGCAUGCUUAGACGUGCUAAUAGUUCUGGUCUUUAAUGAUACCAGCUUAAUGAAGAUGAUGUUAUGCAUUUUUAAUUGUUCUCCUCUGAUUUGACAUUAGCCAUGCCUUUCUCACUAAUAUGAAGAUUUGUUGGCCAGCACUGACAUUAGCUGAAACUGGAUCUUUAAAUUGUCAGUUCCUCCCGCAUUUCCUUUGCCUUUAUCUUUCCUAGUGCCUUGCAUUGACCAGCUCCACUUUAGGCCCAGAUUAGCCCUUUCUCCAUUCCUAAAUCAACGUUUAAAAUGGCAGAAACUAUACUAGCAACCUCAGAUCUCUUUAAUGGGGCUUGGAACACUGACCCAGGACUGAGCUUUAUGCAUUUAAUCUAACCCCUGAAUUACAGUGCUUUCCUACACUCUCUCUAGGUGACUUUUGCUUUGAUAUCCCAAUUGACAGCUUUGUCCCCCUAUAGGGCUAAGUCUUCAUCCUGAGCCUUGCCUGUCUCCUGCCAAUCUUCUCUCCAUAGAGUCUUCCUUAGUUCACUCCUGAAACCCUUCUAGCUCCAAGACAUGGACAGAUGAUGAUGAUGAUGAUGAUGAUGAUGAUGAUGAUGAUGACGACGACGACGACGGGCAUUAUGCUUGAUUUCUGAAUUGGAAUCUAUCUAGAAUAUUUUGUUGCUCAAUUGGAUCUCCUCCCUCUAACUAUUGUUGGAGGUGAUGGACAAUGCUCUGGUUAUUCCUACUGUCUUGGAUGAGGUCCUCCCUCUGCAUUCUGGUCAGGUUCCCUCAGUACCCACCCUAGUUAAUGGGUCUGCUUGGCCCAGUUUCCUAUUUUUUAAUAUUCUGCACAUGGAUACAUCUGUGAUUUGUCUUUGUAGAUGAUGUAAUGGGUAUUGUAAAAAGCACUAACUCCCAAAUUUCCACCAGUGAUACCCAAAAUUUCUUGUUACUAGAGAUUAACCAUUUUGAGAUAAGUGAUGUCUGUAAAAAUGCAGUAUCUUGGGUGUCUUAGAAUGUGCUAGGCUAGGCUGUGUAAACCCACAUAUAUAAUGUUUCAAAACAUUAGUUUAUUUCUUACACAAAACAAUCCUGUGAGGGUUUUCAGGUUAGCAAGGUUUUUCUCCACACUAUAGUCAUUUAAAGAUUCAGAUUUUUCUCAUCUUGAAGUCCUUCAAUUCCCUAGUAGCUCAGUUGCAUCUAUACUUAGCUGGUGAAAGAUAAGAACAAGCCUAGGGUGGGGAGUGUCAAACUUUUUUCUCAAAACUUUUGACCUUCAGGUGGCGUCUUACAAUUUUCUCACAUGGCAUUGGUCAGAAUUCAAUCACAUGGUUACAUCUAAUUUCAGGGGUGAGGUGGGGGCUGAAGAAUGUAGUUCAGUUAUUUUACCAGGAGAGGAAAAAAAGAGAAAAUAGAUUUUGGAGGAUAGCUGACAGUCUCUGCCAUAAUAAAUAAGGACAACACACUAAUUUGUUUUUGGCCUUUGAUACCUUAACACAGUUUAGUUUGUCAAAUUGCUAAUACCUUGGACAGCAGAUUGCAAAAUAAUAGAAUAUGGGCUAGGUCAGGGGAGCAAAAGAGAAAGGGUGAGGAGAAUUCAAUGCCAGUACAUGGAUCAUUUAUGGGAAAGGAUAGGCUUCUUUGAAGGCACAAGACUCUUAGAAAGUCAGAGGUCAAUGUGACAGUACUGGGAAUAGGCAACAAGGGGAUGGAAACAAAGUAAAGAUGCAAAGGUUGUCUCAGUUUUGUUUCAGGCUAGCCUUGAUUCUAUACUGAAAAUUCAUGCGAAAUGAGUGUCUUCAACAUUUCAACAAUUCAGCCCUAUGCUUAUCUUUUUGAGUCAAGCCUUUGUGAGGGAGAGGCAGCAAAAUACCCCCAAAGCUCAGGUUCUCAGUGUGCUCCACCAGAUUCCUGCUUUUUAUAAGGUUUCUUUUCCCUUAUUUCCAAACCAGAACAAUUUAAAUCUAAUCAAUGUCAUCAUUCUUUAGUCUUUGGGUCAAAAUGAAACAAAUUUUCUUACAGCUAUCCAUUUGGUGUCAAGCUUCCUGCUGAGAACCUUAUUAUGUAUAGAGUAAAAUCUUUUCAUAUCAGAAUGGGCUUGGUUUCAUGUUAGACUGCCUGCUUUACACAAACCAGGACUGACCUCUAGUUCAUUUACAUUCUCCCUUCCUCCACAGCCCUGCAGAUUGAGUGACUGACCCAUGCUGAUGACCCACUGACACAUCCUUAGCCAGCUGGGAUGAAACAUGAGUUGAUUCAGCAGAGAACAGGGAGGAAAUGUCUUUUCCUAUGAAAGACACAUCAUGGCAGCUAAACAGCUGGACUCCUUUGACAGUCAAUCAGCCAGGCCUUGGGGUAUCAGUGCACCGAGCAACUCAGCUGGAAAGUGUCUAUUCUCUAGCUGAGCAAAUGUCAUCUCCACCAGGAAGCCGCAAAAGGAUGGCGAGAGACUGCACUGAAGUGUCUGUGAGGCUGAAUUCCAAGGGAAAAAAAACUAUAAAUACAAAUAUGCUGCAAUAUGGGAAUGCCUGAUUCAAGGGUAAAUAUAUGAAUGCCUCUCUCUUUAGAAUGUUCAGGAGCAGCAUUUAUAUACCCUGUACAUUAAAUAAAAUUAUUAUAAAUGGUGUGCCUUAAUAACUUCUUACCUGAAUAAUUAAUUUGUAUAUUUUCCUAAGAUAUACUCUUGUAAGAAUUGCAUAAGAUUAUGUAACUAACUAAAUAAAAUUUAUUGGCUUUUGUACUUGAAGAAAAUGGCUGUCUAGCAUAGCA
rnacentral:lncRNA from 1 species